GAUGAACGCUGGCGGCGUGCUUAACACAUGCAAGUCGAACGAGAAGUGAAGACGGAAACCUUCGGGCGGAAGGCUUUAUUUCGAGUGGCGGACGGGUGAGUAACGCGUGGGUAACCUGCCUCAUACAGGGGGAUAACAGUUGGAAACGACUGUUAAUACCGCAUAAGACCACAGCACCGCAUGGUGCGGGGGUAAAAACUCCGGUGGUAUGAGAUGGACCCGCGUUCGAUUAGCCAGUUGGCGGGGUAACGGCCCACCAAAGCGACGAUCGAUAGCCGAUCUGAGAGGAUGACCGGCCACAUUGGGACUGAGACACGGCCCAAACUCCUACGGGAGGCAGCAGUGGGGAAUAUUGCACAAUGGGGGAAACCCUGAUGCAGCGACGACGCGUGAGUGAAGAAGUAUUUCGGUAUGUAAAGCUCUAUCAGCAGGGAAGAAAAUGACGGUACCUGAGUAAGAAGCCCCGGCUAACUACGUG
rnacentral:rRNA from 1 species